GCCCUCGAUGGUUCAGAUGGGUAGAGCGUCUGCUACGUAAGCAGGAGAUCCCGGGUUCGAGUCCCGGUCAAGGCA
rnacentral:tRNA from 1 species